GACGAACGCUGGCGGCGUGCUUAACACAUGCAAGUCGAACGGAAAGGCCCUGCUUUUGUGGGGUGCUCGAGUGGCGAACGGGUGAGUAACACGUGUGUAACCUGCCCUUGACUCUGGGAUAACUUCAGGAAACUGGGGCUAAUACCGGAUAGGAGCUCCUGCUGCAGGGUGCGGGUUGGAAGGUUUCGGUGGAUGGGGAUCGACCGGCGGAUCAUCUGCUUGUUGGUGGGGUAGUGGCUCACGAAGGCUUGGGCGGAUAGCCGGCCUGAGGGGGUGUCCGGCCACAUUGGGACUGAGAAACGGCCCAGACUCCGACGAGAGGCAGCAGUGAGGAAUAUUGCACAAUGGGCGGAAGACUGAUGCAGCAACGCCGCGUGCGGGAUGACGGCCUUCGGGUUGUAAACCACUUUCGCCUGUGACGAAGCGUUAGUGACGGUAACGGAAAAAGAAGCACCGGCUAACUACGUG
rnacentral:rRNA from 1 species